UCUUUCUCAACUCUACACAAAGUGACUUCUGACGAAGAAAGCGAUGGAUUGCUGAAGAUUUCUGCCUGAUGUGAAGAACUGGACUCUGGGUGAGAUCGCCUGUGCUGUACGGUUGGUCAUGCUCUCUGCCAGUGUGGAUUCCUGCGUUUACCGCCACUUGCAGAGAGUGCAGAGAGCAGAGAGCACUUUCCUCCUGACCACACUCAGCCUCCAUAAGGAUGUGCAGCUGACUUAUGGGUCUCUGAUUUGAUUCGUGAGAAGUCCUUCUAAUCAGGAAUCAAAUGUAACAGAGCUCUUCACGGCCCAGCUCCACCAUUACAACUUCCUGGAUGUGUUUUAUUAGCUGCUUCACUUCGGAUACUUCACAAAUGACUCAGCUCCUGAGGCAGGAGGAUUCUUGGAGAGCCUGUUUGGGUUCAUCAGCAUGUGGGAUGUGGACAUGUGGGAGCCUGCAGCACAGCUGUACUUCACAGUGCUUAUUAUUGUCAAUAGGAUAAGCUUUGUCAACAGCGACCCAGCAGCCUUAGCAAGUGCAGUUUCGUGGCUCCUCUGGCAACAUGUCCAGCGGAUGAUGGACACUUUGGAGAAGCUCUCAGCAAUGUCAUUCCCUCUACCCACCCCUCUGCCACCCCCAACCCCCCUUCCUCUUCAUGCUUUUAUCUCUUUUAAUUUACAAUUUAAUAUUGUGGGAUGCUCGCUAGAUCCUGCUAUCUCUAGUAACUUUAAUAAGGCAAAAAAAAAAAAAAAAAACCAGCUUGUCAUGUUACUAUAAAAACAAAACAAAGCACUAAGUCCUCUGUACUGCGGCAGAAAACGUAUUGACCCUUACAAAGCUCUGACACCCGAAACUCAUUCCACAGAUAUAUUUUAAAAAUCCACUUACAGAAAAUGUCACCAUAUCAGCAAUUACUCAAUAUGUUUUUUCUUUAUUAAAUAACAGCAUUUUUGUAAACCUGUUCAUAAUUUCGCUUAGAUUAUGUGGAGCAUUUGUGCCCCAAGCCCCUGUAAAAGAGUUGCUACUAAAGAAAUUCAUAUAGAACAUAGAGAGAGAACAUACAGAUAACCUGAUUGCAACUUUAGCACAUUAAUGCUAUAAUUAAACCCCCAAAAUUCAUCUUUUCUUCCUCUGUUGCAUUUCAUAUUCGUUCUUUUCCAUGACUACUUUUCCCUACAUUGCUCAAGCUGUGCAUGAGUAAGUAUACAUCAAGUUUGUUGUUUUCAGUUAACUUAGUAUUUAAAAAAAAAAUCUUUUUUCUUCAUUUACAUGUCUGUAUAGAGAGCCCAGGACUGAAGGACCAGUGUAACAUCAUUCCUCAUCCCCAAUACUCACCCCUUUAUACUCUAUCCUUCAGUACUUUAUCCCUCUCCCCAUCACUCUAUUCCUUUCAGUAGCCUAAAGAGUCUAUAUAGAUGACAGCUGUAAAUAGAAUUAUUUGUAAAUAGUUGUUACAUAGUGCUUAUAUAGUUUGCUUUAGUAAAGGUUUGCAUUUACUCCUAUUGCAGAACUAAAUUAAUUUCUCAUUCAUAUACAAAUCCAUUUAAAGAAUUUCUGAAACUCUGAAAAAUGACAAAUAAACAAAAUUUUGAUAUUUAUAGCCGUGCAAAAUUUGUUGAUGGCACCAAAUUGUGUAAAAUUGUAAAUAUAAAAAUAAAAAAUAUUUAAUAUACUGUGUAAGAAAUCUUCAGAUUAUAGUCAGAAAAUCUCAUUGUUGAGGAACAAAAUUUUGGGAGAUUUUACCAUUUUACUGUAGUACACCGUUUAUAUUAGGCCAUCACUCUGAACUCUCAAGGUCAUGUUCUAAGACUGAGUGGUUGUGAUAUAACAGUCAUGGGUGUAAUGCUUGCAAAGGUAGAAUAUUUACUCUAUCAUCCGUAUUCUUUUCCCAAAAGAAACACAGAAAAGCAAACUGUGGCUAAUUAAAGUACAAAUUAAACAAAAUAACUGAAUUGUAUGUUUAGUGUUUUUUUGGUGUUUUUUUUUUUUUUUUUGCUGUUGUUUGAACAAAAAAGUUACAACUUUUACAACGGCUACAAUCUUUGGAGGAAACACAGCAUGAAAAUGACUUGAAACACUUAAUAAAAAUCACAAAUGCAGAUGCCUGAUCUGUCUGCCUGAUAGUUUGCCCUACAUCCUUCUUAUUAUGCCAUAGAGGAGACCUUGCUCAAUAGUCCUCAACCCUAAUAGUUUCACUGUCAAGCUGUAGCUAUUCAGUUUUGCGCUCCUAUUUAAAUAUCUAAUAUCACAGCAGAUACUGGGAAAUACAUUUGUGAUAUUGAGAAUGUGUUAGAGUGAGCUAAAGCCACUAGAUUACCCAAUUUACAUUACAUCUGCAUUUAUUAAUUUAGAAAGCACAUUUUAUCCAAAGUGACAUACAGAAUCUUGUCUGCUUUAAAGAGCUAAUGCAUAAUAUGCCCCAUUUCUGUCUUUGAAUGUAAAACACCAUAGACCAAAACCUCGGUGUGUGAUCAUGCGUGGUAAUGUGCUGUCUUGCUUUCCUUCAUGCAUAAUCAUUCCUUGUAAUUGUCUAGGAGGAGCCACAUUAUGGGCCAGGUGAUGGCGUGAUUGAUUGCUCGUGGAGUGUGCCUCGUUCGACAGAAUACAGCAGCUAUAUGUUUUUGUGUGUAUAUAGUAUAUAAGAGAUAGUCAAUCGCUUCUACAAAACACUUUUCAUAAAUCUCAGUUAUCCAUCCAUCCAUCCAUCUUCUAUACCGCUUAUCCUUUUCAGGGUCACGGGGAACCUGGAGCGUAUCCCAGGGAGCAUCGGGCACAAGGCGGGGUACACCCUGGACAGGGUGCCAAUCCAUCGCAGGGCACAAUCACAUACACACUCACAUACCCAUUCAUACACUACGGACACUUUGGACAUGCCAAUCAGCCUACCAUGCAUGUCUUUGGACUGGGGGAGGAAACCGGAGCACCCGGAGGAAACCCCCGCAGCACGGGGAGAACAUGCAAACUCCGCACACACAGCACAUAAAUCUUGGUUAUAUUACACAGAUUUUACUAUGCAAAUUUGGACCUUCUUAUGGUCCACAUACAGGAGAUCUGAAUGUGUACGUACAGUGUAAUGAAGGGAGAAAAGAAGAAUGAAGGAAAUUGAAUGUUUGGCUCUAAUCUUCUAUGCGUUUACGAGUUUUUGCUCAAUGAGGCAUUAAUAAUGCACUAGUGAGAUUUGAGCUUGCUUGAAUGUGGUUAUACCUCUGAGAUGGUGUGUGUGGGUGUGUGUGUGAGGCUGUAAGGAGGCUGCUUUAUUGUCACAGUGCUCAGAGACCUCAAGGCACUGAGGGGUGAUAGGCAUUCCCACUGCGCAAGACCAAAGGAACUAACAAGACUCUAUUUCACCUGUAUAGCACCUUCUAUUUUAUUUCCUAUUAUAUGUAUAAUUUGCAUUAGUUUAGUAUUUGUUGUUUUGUAUAUUUUGUGCUUUUAACAUGUGUUCGUUUUGUGUUCAUAGACACACCUCAAGCAUCUUGAUGUACGAAUGUCUUUGACAUAAUAUGCACAUGAUAAAUAAAAGAUUUUG